GACAAAGGGUGCAAACGUUGUUCGGAAUUACUGGGCGUAAAGCGCGUGUAGGCGGCUAAGUAAGACAGGUGUGAAAUCCCCGGGCUUAACCUGGGAACUGCAUUUGUGGCUGCAUCGCUGGAGUGCGGCAGAGGGGGAUGGAAUUCCGCGUGUAGCAGUGAAAUGCGUAGAGAUGUGGAGGAACACCGAUGGCGAAGGCAGCCCCCCUGGGCUAACACUGACGCUCAUGCACGAAAGCGUGGGGAGCAAACAGG
rnacentral:rRNA from 1 species